GACGAACGCUGGCGGCGUGCUUAACACAUGCCAGUCGAACGGCAAGGUCCUUCUUUUUUUGGGUUCUCUUCUUCCCAUCUGGUUUCUUUCCCUUUUGUUUCCUUCCCUUUUCUUUUGUUUUUCUUCAUGUAACUUUGUUUCUUACCCUCUAUGAUCUCCUUCUGUUUUGUGGGUGUUUGUUAGUUUCGGUGGUUGGGGAUGUACUGGCGGCUUAUCUGCUUGUUGGUGGGGUUGUGGCUUACCAAGGUUUUGACGGGUAGCCGGCCUGAGAGGGUUACCGGCCACAUUGGGACUGAGAUACGGCCCAGACUACAACGGGAGGCAGCAGUGGGGAAUAUUGCACAAUGGGCGGAAGCCUGAUGCAGCAAAGCCGCGUGCGGGAUGACGGCCUGGGGGUUGUAAACCGAAUUCGCCUGUGACGAAGCGUGAGUGACGGUAAUGGGUAAAGAAGCACCGGCUAACUACGUG
rnacentral:rRNA from 1 species